AGGAGCUUAGGUGCGGCGUCUGCGCAGAAGGUGCUGGACCAGGUCCUAGGUGGAUCGAUCCCUGCUGGUCCGCAAUGUGGGGUGCUGCAGGGUUUUCUGGCGUGGCCCCCAGAAACUAUCACCAGCGCCUUCAGCCUCGGUGCACAGACACUUCAAAUCCAAGCAGCACCUGGAAAUGCUGCCUGCCCCAGGCACCGGGGCCUCACUGGAGGCAAAGCCUUCCAUUCCACAGGACCAGGAACCAGGAGCUAAGGUGUCUGGAGCCCUGAGGAGAGAGGCAGCCAGGAACAGGUGAGAGGUGACACAAGAACUGGAGGAAACCUAGGCUGGUUGCUAGGUAACACCAGACCAGGACACCAAACCAGGAAUUCAUAGCCUCCUAUAUUCCCCUGUGCCUGCCUCUGUGGACCCC
rnacentral:lncRNA from 1 species